rnacentral:ncRNA from 1 species
AAUAACUAAGUCGCAUAGGCGUUUGGCGCUGACUGUAGUCUGACUUUGUGAGUGGGCAUCAUGAUAAGUGUAGAAUAAGUGAGAGACCGAUCCCUCAGGGCUUGUCGUCAGUGAAAUACCACCAAAGUCAUUGUUUCUUUGCUUAUUAAAACGGGAACAUGAUAUUGGUUCUAAACAUAUACUGGCGUCCGUUGUUUAUUCUUGAGGGUUUGGUCACUUAGUCAUGUCAAGUUACUCAUCGCUUCAGUUGCAGCCUUUGAGUCUGUUUGUGAUGUGCCAUCCGUUUAGAGAAGAAUUCUAGACAUAAAGUUUGACUGGGAUGGUGUAUUUAUGAAAUAGUCACGCAGUUGUGACAAGGUGAGCUCAAAUCGGACAGAAGCCUGGCAUGUAAAGAAAGGGUAACAAUUUACUUGAUUUGAUUUAUAAUGCGAAUAAACAUCCUGAGAACGUGUUUUGUAGAGCCCCUUAAAUCCGAUAUUAAGAGGAUGAACCACGGGAAUGACUGACUUGUGUUUGGCGGGUGUUAAUAGCUACGUUACUCAUUGAUCCAUCGAUAUCUAUUCAAAAUAGGCCUAAUCCCCACGGGUCUUGCACAUUCGCACUUGGUACGAGUUAUGAGCUUGACAGUCACCAGUGGAAUUUGCUUUCCUGUAUUUUACCUUUCAUAGAUGGCGAUGAUUAUAUGAAGCAAGAUUCACUAAGCGUUGAAUUCAUGGAAGAUUCUCAUAAUAAUUGAAUUGUUCAUCCACCAAUAGGAAGCAUGAGUUGGGUUUAAACCAUCCUGAGACAGGUUAGUUUUACCCUACUAGCGAGUGUAUUGGGACAGUAAAAUGCAAACGGGAUGCUGCUAUGCUAAUCCUGUUUAGUAUCAGAAGAAACGUAGAUCCAUUCAUUUUUUCUGGUCAAUCUUGCGAGGCCUCCAUCUGAGGUAUUUUGAACGAACGCCUCUAAGUCUGAGAGCCGUUUGAAUGUACUACGGUACAGGCUAUGUGCCUGACCAGGUUUGAUAAGUCUGAUGUUUAUGGCAGGGUAAUAUAGCCGAAACUUUACCUCAGAUUUCGGUGAAUGGAGGUCAACACACCCUAUUGUUGUGCAGGCAAUAAAUCGUAUGUAGACGGCUUAAUCUUUUGUCAGGGUGACGUAAGUGUAAGAGCAGCUAUCAGACUAUGAGACUUUGAACUCUUUCCCUUCCUAACCUAAUGAUUU